CCAGCGCGAGCCCGGAGCAGCCCCGGAAACGCGUUAGCGCCGCGGGCGGUACGCUCCAGCUUGCUGGAAAGAAACUUGGGGACAUCUGUGAAGACAGCACUAGGAAGGACCUGAAGAGAAGCAGUAAAGGAGGUGAAAGCAGCUCGCUCUGUUCUGGAAGAGAGUUUCUCCAAGGAGGUCUUAAAUUCAGCAGAGUAUCGGAAAAAGAUCAAGAUCGAAUAUUGUAGUUGGAUGUAGGAAGAAAAAGGUAAUGAAACUUAAAACUCAAAGUUUCAUGGAGCUACAAGAGGAAAACGGAGCCACCUGAAGCGUCGCCGGAGACCUGGGAGCUAGGGACAGCCCUGGGAGGAGGACGCAGCAUCCGCGAGGGGCUGCCUUUUUAAAAUUUUUCUCCUCAAGGGAAGUUGCCAUAGCCUUUUUGGUGGCAGAGAGAGGAAAAAGCCAGGUGAGAAAAAGACUUUGAAAACAGGAGAGGAGGUAGAAUGGUGGAUUAGGUCAUCUGGAGAAGGAAGGCGAAGAUAUCCAAUAUGCAGGCCUUGUUUGGUCUCUUUGAUUUGUGAGUUACCUGCUUUGUAUUCCUGGCUUGAGCCAUUGGGCCUAAAAACGCACAGGACCUGGAUAUUUUAACUGUCAGGAGGUUGGACUCGCAGUAGAGCGAUUGUAUUAAUAGGAAGACCUAAAGGCAGGAAUGCUGUGACUCAAUUAGGAGAAGGUGAAAGGCUGGAAGGAGCAUUUAUUCAUUGGACAAACUUUUGCCUCCAACUCUGAGGUGGAAAGAGAAGUGGCCUGUUCAGGAGAGCAAGGCCCAACGGAGCAGUCAGGCUUUGGAUGAAGAUCUGCAACUGUGAGUGGUGAUCAGGAACAAUGUGGAAGGGAUAUAAGUAUCCCCCGGGAGGGACCCCGCUGGAAACAAACAAAGAUGAUCCUGGUGAAGUAAUGCAGCUCUGAAGCUCACCUGACUGGCUGUACAGUUCGUUGUUGGUUUCACAUAAAGUAGUUGCACGUUAUUUUUGUCACAUUUUAUGUAAAAAUUCACCGUACUUUUUAAGAUAAAGAUUUGGUAUUCUGUUAGCUUGAAACAGGGAGAUGGAGGGUGGGGAGGUAGUCGGGGUGGAUGGGAGUGGUUGGGUCCCCUCUGUUUCAUAGUCCCUAAGACUGGUAUUAAGACUAAGAUACCCAGUUUGAUCUGUCCUCUAUUCUGUAUCCUUAAGGAUAGAAAUUCAAGAGCUCUUUAGACCUAUUUCCCAAGUAAUGUCUCUCUCCUGGGUCCAGGGUUGAAACAAUGUUCAAGGGCUAGAGAUUGCAGCAACUUUAAGCCUAUUCUUUGGGGGUAUUUCUCUGUGGCCUUUCCACAGCGAUUAAGAACCCAAAGCUUACACUGUGGGGGAAAGGACCUCAUUUUUAUACUGGGUGUUAGACAUUAAAUUUUACAUUAUUUUAACCCUUACAGAAACCUGAGUAGUAGCUUUAUUUUAUAAAAUGGCAAAAAUGAAGUUGAGUUUUAAGCACCUUACCAAACAGCUCUGAGUUGCAGUGAAGGUUAAGAUCCAGGCCUCUCCUUGGCAUGCUUUUAUGUGCCAAGGAAAAGGGCCAAAUGAGACUGGGAUAUCUAUCUUGGCUGCCUAUGGUUCAAAUGUCUCCCUCACCUGUAUAGCCAGAAAAGUUGCCUGAUCAUUCCUUUUGCACUGACUGCUGCUAAUACAGGUAGCAAGUGUAGAAACAAAAGCUGCUAGUCCUCACAAUGAUGCAGGUUGAGUUUAUGAGACCAAGGAUGGAAUCUAAGAUCUACGCAAUUAAGCUGGGUGUCUGAGCCCUAGGUUAUUCCUAAUAAGCCCUCUAGUCAUUUGGAGCUUUCCAGUCCUAAAGGCGGGUGGGGAAGGGAGGGACAAAUCUAACAGGAGUAAAUACAGUACUUCUAAAAUAAACUGAAUGACACUGUCCCUAUUCUGUGGCUGCUUGGGGAUGACUGAUACAGUGCCACUGUCCAGAAGUGCACCCUUAUAAGCCGAUCUUUUGGUUAUGUACACAUUUUGUUGACUAUUUGGUACAGGUUUGCCCAAGUAUUUAUAAGUGGCUCUAUGCGCUGAAUGGAUUACCCUUUUUAUUUUCUAUGAAAAAAAAAGUGAAUUCAAAGUCCUUAAGCAAAACUUUGUAAUCUCUCAAUCUAGGAUACUAGCAUCUCUUGUACUUCUUAUGACCUAGUCUCAACACAUUUCAUGAAGUGCCUGCAUUCUCUGGCUGCAUGGCUGUGCCCACUUGCCUCAUAUAUGUAUUCCUAAUGACUUAUCUUCGCAGCCAUCUCAGGCUCAGUUUAUCACAGGGGAUCAGAGCCCACUUCUCUUGAUAGGAAGUAUAUACCCAGUUCUUCUUCUUCCCUCCAGUUCAGAGUAUAGCUCCAAACAGUGCUAACCUGGUUGUCUUCAGUAAGCUGGUGGGGGAGGCGAGGGAUCAGUGGCAGGGGAUGUGUAGGGAUAAUGCACAGAGGCGUGUAAGGAGGCAAACCCAUCUCUG